CGUUGUCCGGAUUUAUUGGGCGUAAAGAGCGUGUAGGCGGCCAUACAGGUCCGUUGUGAAAACUCGAGGCUUAACCUCGAGACGUCGAUGGAAACCGUAUGGCUAGAGUCCGGAAGAGGAGAGUGGAAUUCCUGGUGUAGCGGUGAAAUGCGCAGAUAUCGGGAAGAACACCGGUGGCGAAGGCGGCUCUCUGGGCCUUACCUGACGCUGAGGAGCGAAAGCGUGGGGAGCGAACAGG
rnacentral:rRNA from 1 species